GAUGAACGCUGGCGGCGUGCCUAAUACAUGCAAGUCGAGCGAACAGACGAGGAGCUUGCUCCUCUGACGUUAGCGGCGGACGGGUGAGUAACACGUGGAUAACCUACCUAUAAGACUGGGAUAACUUCGGGAAACCGGAGCUAAUACCGGAUAAUAUAUUGAACCGCAUGGUUCAAUAGUGAAAGACGGUUUUGCUGUCACUUAUAGAUGGAUCCGCGCCGCAUUAGCUAGUUGGUAAGGUAACGGCUUACCAAGGCAACGAUGCGUAGCCGACCUGAGAGGGUGAUCGGCCACACUGGAACUGAGACACGGUCCAGACUCCUACGGGAGGCAGCAGUAGGGAAUCUUCCGCAAUGGGCGAAAGCCUGACGGAGCAACGCCGCGGGAGUGAUGAGGGUCUUCGGAUCGUAAAACUCUGUUAUUAGGGAAGAACAAAUGUGUAAGUAACUAUGCACGUCUUGACGGUACCUAAUCAGAAAGCCACGGCUAACUACGUG
rnacentral:rRNA from 1 species